rnacentral:lncRNA from 1 species
CUUUUUGUUAUUGUUAUUUUUUGUUUGUUUUAAUUCGUUUUUUUUGUUUUGUUUUGUUUUGUUUUGUUUCAGUUUGGUGUUUUUGAGAACUUGACAUUUCCCUUCCCCGGUGCCCACAGCUGCAGGAGCAUCAUCGGCUAGCACGUGGCAUCUUUUGGGUACUUGGGAGUCACUACAGCUUCCAGGGCUUCAGCGUGUUAAAGUGUCCUGGGGAGACCACACAGCAGCCAUCUAUACUGGGUGAAAUUUUUCUGCUCCUGGAGGAUCAGCUGAGUCAUGACUUCCUCUG